rnacentral:rRNA from 1 species
AGAGUUUGAUCCUGGCUCAGAGUGAACGCUGGCGGUAGGCCUAACACAUGCAAGUCGAACGGCAGCACAGGAGAGCUUGCUCUCUGGGUGGCGAGUGGCGGACGGGUGAGGAAUACAUCGGAAUCUACUUUUUCGUGGGGGAUAACGUAGGGAAACUUACGCUAAUACCGCAUACGACCUACGGGUGAAAGCAGGGGAUCUUCGGACCUUGCGCGAUUGAAUGAGCCGAUGUCGGAUUAGCUAGUUGGCGGGGUAAAGGCCCACCAAGGCGACGAUCCGUAGCUGGUCUGAGAGGAUGAUCAGCCACACUGGAACUGAGACACGGUCCAGACUCCUACGGGAGGCAGCAGUGGGGAAUAUUGGACAAUGGGCGCAAGCCUGAUCCAGCCAUACCGCGUGGGUGAAGAAGGCCUUCGGGUUGUAAAGCCCUUUUGUUGGGAAAGAAAUCCAGCUGGCUAAUACCCGGUUGGGAUGACGGUACCCAAAGAAUAAGCACCGGCUAACUUCGUGCCAGCAGCCGCGGUAAUACGAAGGGUGCAAGCGUUACUCGGAAUUACUGGGCGUAAAGCGUGCGUAGGUGGUCGUUUAAGUCCGUUGUGAAAGCCCUGGGCUCAACCUGNGAACUGCAGUGGAUACUGGGCGACUAGAGUGUGGUAGAGGGUAGCGAAAUUCCUGGUGUAGCAGUGAAAUGCGUAGAGAUCAGGAGGAACAUCCAUGGCGAAGGCAGCUACCUGGGACCAACACUGACACUGAGGCACGAAAGCGUGGGGGAGCAAAACAGAUUUAA